ACCACAAAUAAUACACAAACUCGUAUAUUUCCAAAUGUAUGGUUGGAAAGUUUCUACCUGCUAUCCGUAUAUUAGCAGACUAUGAGGUAACUUUUAUGAUGA
rnacentral:ncRNA from 2 species